UUUUUGCAAAAUAAAAUCUAAUUGUGGUUAGUUCUCAAUAUAAACGUAUUUUUGCAAAAAAAAGUUCAUUAAAAAUACAAAAGUGAAAAGAGCCCUUUAUUGUUUUUGUUUUUUGAAAUCAAUCAUAAUUUAUUUCACACUAUUUUCAAACGGUCCCAAUGAGAAUCUGAGUCUCAAUAUCGAAGGCAGAAAUUCAAAUCUCCCCAAUCACCAUACCACUCCAAAUCCAAUCCUAUAAACGAUUCUCACUGACCCAUGAAAUUCCAAUCCAGAAAGUAACAAUCUUGAAUGUGCCCAGAAGCUCGAUCAACAAAUCGAUCGACUGGGUUUGAGCGACUGAGGUGGGUUCUAUGGUAUUUCUUUCCUGAAAUCGAGUUUUUGGAUCUGCAAUAGCUUUAUUACUCUUCUAUAGUUUUUGGAGUUCAGGGAUGAGGUGUAUGAACUCCUUUUGAAGCUUCCAAUUACUUAUGGGAUUUGGGUAAUUUUUAAUGUCAGGUUAAUUUUGUUUAUAUAUAAGAUGAUUCUGUUUGAUAAUCCUCAUUUUUUGUAUUAUUGGUGAUAGUAAAUUCUUCUCUUAGUUUUCAUACAUUCAUGGUACUAUACUACUACUUGCUGAUUUUGUUGGUCUAAUAUACCAAACAAAUUAGUUUCUCCUUUAUCUUUAUCAAUCUAUGUUCCAUAUUUCCCAAAUGGAUGAAUCACAAUUGUUUGAGAUUACAAAUUAGUUUCUCCUUUAUCUUUAUCAACCUAUGUUACAUUUGCAGAGCUUAAAUGUUCCGCCCAAUUACAGGUGUAUGAACUCCUUUUGAAGCUUCCAAUUACUUACGGGAUUUGGGUAUUUUUGUCUUAGAAAUUUGUGUUAUUAUGAAAGUAGUUUAUGUUAAAACAAUUCUACUUGCUUGAGAUUGAGUGAGUUGGUUUGUGUUGUUAGUUAGUGAUAUUUUUUCAUAGCCAGUCAAGAGUGUUGUAUCUCCAACAUCUUCCAUUAGAUGGGACUUUGGUUAAUUUUUAAUUGUCAAGUAAAUUAAAGAAAUGUAUUAUGCAGCAAAAUAAAACUAAAGAAGGUGUUGAAGUGUUGGCCAAAUAACAAAGUCCCUAAACUACCCCUACUGCUCAUAACAGAAUUAACCAACUUUCAGUUAUGACAGUUGGUGAUCGAGCCUUUCUCACCAGCUUCAAUCAACAUUGCUAUUUAAGGCUCAACUAGAUUAAAGUUUGUGGGUUAAUUUUUCGAGGGAAUACAGAUUGUGAGAAAGAGAGAAUUAUGAGCUGUUUAGAGAGAGAUGAGUUGCCCUUGAGUGUUAUGUAAUGGUGUGAGUUCAAUUGCAGAAGCAAAGCUUCUCAAGAUUGUGUAAUUGGAACUGUUGUAAUCUCUCAUUAAAUAUAAGCUAAUAAAGAUUCUCUAAAGCCAUUGUUGUGGCUGUUUUCUGGCCGGUGGA